CGAGUUUUGAUCAAAAAAAGGUUUCGCUAUGGGAGGCUUGGAAAGUUUGGGGGGUCUGCAAAAUCCACGAUUAAAGUGGAAUAGUUUUGAGAAAGACGUAGUUUCAUAUAAAGUGAGGAGGAAUAAGCGACAGACAAGGAGAAAGAAGAUCCUCCAAAAUUCGACCCGCCAACUAAUAAAAAUGAGGCGUCGAAUGACUUAUCGCUCAUGUUGACUCGCGAUUUGUCUGGGUUCAAUCCCAUCUGCGCCCAAGUAAGCGAUUUUCCGCUCCUUUUUAAGGAGCUGAAAAUGGCUCCAUCUGAUGAUUGAGAUUUUCAAUCACCAGCGCCGUUUGAAUCCGGCGUUAAACUGUAGACCCCAUAUAUUAGUACAUAUCCCUUAUAUAUAUGUACAGAUCCCUUAGGAUGGGACAUUAGAUUAACAACCUAAUUUCGGAAAAAAUUCAUUACGAAAACCUCAUGAAAGAUAGGCCCUGUUCCGCCUUGAGAUGUUGCACCAUCGAAUAAAUGAACGAAUGAAUGACUGAUAAAAAUAAAGCUAACACUAACAUCACGCAAACGUAGAGUAUUUUCAACUCUACAACGCUCGCGUUAGCAAAAGAGUAUCUAAAUAGGGGUUUAUUCUGUCCGAGUAGGAGUUUAUCCUGCCGACAGACUGCCGAGGGAUAAACCGAUUACCAUUAUUGCUAAUAUAGAUGAUCACGAUCGACCUAGCCAACAUUGAGUCAUCUUCCACAUCGAUUCUAGGGUCCGUCUAGGUCACAUCGAUGUGAAGCUGGCGCUCAACUUUAUCAAAAAUAAAAAUGGAUACCGUAGCGCGUUUGUACUUCGUUUGUACUUGUUUGUACUGAUCAUUAUUUCAUUUGUAC